rnacentral:rRNA from 1 species
ACGCCAGACUCCUACGGGAGGCAGCAGUGGGGAAUAUUGCACAAUGGGGGAAACCCUGAUGCAGCGACGCCGCGUGAGUGAAGAAGUAUUUCGGUAUGUAAAGCUCUAUCAGCAGGGAAGAUAGUGACGGUACCUGAGUAAGAAGCCCCGGCUAACUACGUGCCAGCAGCCGCGGGAAUACGUAGGGGGCAAGCGUUAUCCGGAUUUACUGGGUGUAAAGGGAGCGUAGACGGCAUGGCAAGUCUGAAGUGAAAGCCCGGGGCUCAACCGCGGGACUGCUUUGGAAACUGUUAAGCUGGAGUGCAGGAGAGGUAAGUGGAAUUCCUAGUGUAGCGGUGAAAUGCGUAGAUAUUAGGAGGAACACCAGUGGCGAAGGCGGCUUACUGGACUGUAACUGACGUUGAGGCUCGAAAGCGUGGGGAGCAAACAGGAUUAGAUACCCCAGUAAC